GCAGGAGUGGUGCCUGAGCCUGCCCACAGACUGCAAGGGAGUUGUAAGAGUGUGGCAUGGAGAUGGCAGGGGCUGGGUACCUGAGUGCCUCUUUGCCUGUGCUGAGUUAAUUAUUUCAAACUGGAUCAAUAGAGGAGGCCCUGGCCUUUGUACCACAGCUAGUGCUGCCCCUCACCCUCAGGAAGGUGUUCCUGGGACAAGCUGGCUUAUCUGGAGAACCCAGGUGGGUUGGCAACCUGAAAAUCAUUUUCCCUUAAACCUGCAGUCAGAACCAGGUAGCCAAGCACAAGUGCACGGUUCUGCUGUACCUUGCAGGCCAGCAAGAGGUGCUGCCCACACAGUGAGCUGCCCAAAAGAUACUCUGAAAAGAAAAUGCAUCUGGAACCAGAAGCAAACACUUUCUCUGAACAGCAUCCCUCCAAGAAUAUUCAGGAAAACAGAGGCUGUCGAAGCUGUGGGCCAAAUGACCACUCAGUUGGUUCUGACCCGUUGGGUUUGCUUCCACCUGAAAAGAAUUUGGUUGUCAAAAGGAAAUAUUACUCAGGAAGAUCCAAGUGGACAAGCAAGUCUGGACAACUUUUUUUUUUUCCCCCCUCCUCCUAAGGGGUAUUUCAACCUUUAAGCAUUUGUCUAUGACCUAAAGUAGGAUUUGAAAAUGUUGAAAACUGUUGAAAUAACAUAACUUCAUUGCAAUUUCUCCCACUGUGGACUUGAAAUAAUUAUUGUGAAAAUAUAAUUUGCAUUUUUGUUGAAGUUGUUUUCCAUUAGGAAACCCUCUGAUGGAUAGUUUCCAGCUGGUUCUUGAGGUUAGAUUUGUAUGCCCUGCUUUCUUUCAUCUCUUCUCUUUUUGGCCUUUGCUCUCUUCCUUG